rnacentral:lncRNA from 1 species
AAACAUACGAGCAUUCCUUUGCAAUGCAGGAGCAAAACGAUCGCUGAAUAUUUUACAAUUCUAAGCAAGUUAAACAGGGGAUACCAAUACUAAUAUAAUAAUAAAUUUAAUACGAAAUGACAUUGCGGAUGUACAUAUGUGCAAAUGAUGAUGAUGACUCCUCGGCCCUUAACAAUUUCAUUUAAUUUGUCGCAACGAAUGAGAGCGAACGAAACACGUUCUGUCUGUCUGUCAAUGUCAUCAUCAAUGUCACACUCCGUCCCUGGACACAGGAACAGGCUUUUUGUGACAAAUAAUUCAAACCGCAUUUUAUAAUGAAUUUCCACACAGCCAGAGAUCCGAAGCCCGAGAGAAUGGUUUGGCAUUUGCAAUUAGAGAACAGGACUGACUGCUGCUGACUGCACCUGAUUUCAGCAGCCCCCAUAUUUGGAUGACAUUUGCAGCGAGAUUGCUGCGAC